ACUCCUACGGGAGGCAGCAGUGGGGAAUAUUGCACAAUGGGCGCAAGCCUGAUGCAGCCAUGCCGCGUGUGUGAAGAAGGCCUUCGGGUUGUAAAGCACUUUCAGUCGUGAGGAAGGUAGUGUAGUUAAUAGCUGCAUUAUUUGUACGUUAGCGACAGAAGAAGCACCGGCUAACUCCGUGCCAGCAGCCGCGGUAAGUACGGAGGGUGCGAGCGUUAAUCGGAAUUACGUGGGCGUAAACGCGCAUGCAGGUGGUUUGUUAAGUCAGAUGUGAAACGCCCGGGGUCUCAACCUCGGAAUAGCAUUUGAAACUGGCAGACUAGAGUACUGGUAGAGGGGGUUAGAAUUUCGAGGUGUAGCGGU
rnacentral:rRNA from 1 species